UACGUAGGGUGCAAGCGUUAAUCGGAAUUAUUGGGCGUAAAGGGUGCGCAGGCGGUUUUGUAAGUCAGAUGUGAAAUCCCCGGGCUUAACCUGGGAAUUGCGUUUGAAACUACAGAACUAGAGUGUGGCAGAGGGAGGUGGAAUUCUAUGUGUAGCAGUGAAAUGCGUAGAGAUAUGGAAGAACAUCGAUGGCGAAGGCAACCUCCUGGGUUAACACUGACGCUCAUGCACGAAAGCGUGGGGAGCAAACAGGAUUAGAAACCCUGGUAGUCC
rnacentral:rRNA from 1 species